UCGAGCGGGGAAGAGUAGCUUGCUACUUUACCUAGCGGCGGACGGGUGAGUAAUGCUUAGGAAUCUGCCUAUUAGUGGGGGACAACAUCUCGAAAGGGAUGCUAAUACCGCAUACGUCCUACGGGAGAAAGCAGGUGACCUUCGGGCCUUGCGCUAAUAGAUGAGCCUAAGUCGGAUUAGCUAGUUGGUGGGGUAAAGGCCUACCAAGGCGACGAUCUGUAGCGGGUCUGAGAGGAUGAUCCGCCACACUGGGACUGAGACACGGCCCAGACUCCUACGGGAGGCAGCAGUGGGGAAUAUUGGACAAUGGGGGGAACCCUGAUCCAGCCAUGCCGCGUGUGUGAAGAAGGCCUUUUGGUUGUAAAGCACUUUAAGCGAGGAGGAGGCUACCGAGAUUGAUACUCUUGGAUAGUGGACGUUACUCGCAGAAUAAGCACCGGCUAACUCUGUGCCAGCAGCCGCGGUAAUACAGAGGGUGCAAGCGUUAAUCGGAUUUACUGGGCGUAAAGCGCGCGUAGGUGGCCAAUUAAGUCAAAUGUGAAAUCCCCGAGCUUAACUUGGGAAUUGCAUUCGAUACUGGUUGGCUAGAGUAUGGGAGAGGAUGGUAGAAUUCCAGGUGUAGCGGUGAAAUGCGUAGAGAUCUGGAGGAAUACCGAUGGCGAAGGCAGCCAUCUGGCCUAAUACUGACACUGAGGUGCGAAAGCAUGGGGAGCAAACAGGAUU
rnacentral:rRNA from 1 species